CUCGUGGGUGGGGUAAAGUAAUCAGUAGUGAAAGCUGCACAGGUAGCAAGGAUGAAAGGUUACUGCCCAGAUUUCGGGCUUGGACGACUGACUGGAGUCAUUCGCUCAUUAAGGGAGCAGUGGAGAAGAACGUUACCUGAAGGAAAGAUAACGACCAGCAGGUCCUGGAGGCCCAUUGUGUACCAGGCGCUUUCCAAUGCUCAUUUUGCAAGCCCUGCCAGCUCUCCUCUGAGGACAUUUGCCUCAUGCGGCAGCAGGUGGGCUCUUGAGGACAGCUUCACUGAGCCAUGGUCUGCUCAGCUGCCCCUGUGCUGCUCCUGGCCGUGACUCUCCCUCUGGUGGAGCCACCAGCUGCCCGAGCAUCCCAGCCUGUGAGUAAGCCUGGGUGAGGACCAUGAGAAGGUCUGCAGAGAUGACAGUAGGGGCCUCUGGGUGUGAGAGGCAGCACGGUGUAGGAUGAAUGG
rnacentral:lncRNA from 1 species